GAUGAACGCUGGCGGCGUGCCUAAUACAUGCAAGUCGAGCGAACGGACGAGAAGCUUGCUUCUCUGAUGUUAGCGGCGGACGGGUGAGUAACACGUGGAUAACCUACCUAUAAGACUGGGAUAACUUCGGGAAACCGGAGCUAAUACCGGAUAAUAUUUUGAACCGCAUGGUUCAAAAGUGAAAGACGGUCUUGCUGUCACUUAUAGAUGGAUCCGCGCUGCAUUAGCUAGUUGGUAAGGUAACGGCUUACCAAGGCAACGAUGCAUAGCCGACCUGAGAGGGUGAUCGGCCACACUGGAACUGAGACACGGUCCAGACUCCUACGGGAGGCAGCAGUAGGGAAUCUUCCGCAAUGGGCGAAAGCCUGACGGAGCAACGCCGCGUGAGUGAUGAAGGUCUUCGGAUCGUAAAACUCUGUUAUUAGGGAAGAACAUAUGUGUAAGUAACUGUGCACAUCUUGACGGUACCUAAUCAGAAAGCCACGGCUAACUACGUGCCAGCAGCCGCGGUAAUACGUAGGUGGCAAGCGUUAUCCGGAAUUAUUGGGCGUAAAGCGCGCGUAGGCGGUUUUUUAAGUCUGAUGUGAAAGCCCACGGCUCAACCGUGGAGGGUCAUUGGAAACUGGAAAACUUGAGUGCAGAAGAGGAAAGUGGAAUUCCAUGUGUAGCGGUGAAAUGCGCAGAGAUAUGGAGGAACACCAGUGGCGAAGGCGACUUUCUGGUCUGUAACUGACGCUGAUGUGCGAAAGCGUGGGGAUCAAACAGGAUUAGAUACCCUGGUAGUCCACGCCGUAAACGAUGAGUGCUAAGUGUUAGGGGGUUUCCGCCCCUUAGUGCUGCAGCUAACGCAUUAAGCACUCCGCCUGGGGAGUACGACCGCAAGGUUGAAACUCAAAGGAAUUGACGGGGACCCGCACAAGCGGUGGAGCAUGUGGUUUAAUUCGAAGCAACGCGAAGAACCUUACCAAAUCUUGACAUCCUUUGACAACUCUAGAGAUAGAGCUUUCCCCUUCGGGGGACAAAGUGACAGGUGGUGCAUGGUUGUCGUCAGCUCGUGUCGUGAGAUGUUGGGUUAAGUCCCGCAACGAGCGCAACCCUUAAGCUUAGUUGCCAUCAUUAAGUUGGGCACUCUAAGUUGACUGCCGGUGACAAACCGGAGGAAGGUGGGGAUGACGUCAAAUCAUCAUGCCCCUUAUGAUUUGGGCUACACACGUGCUACAAUGGACAAUACAAAGGGCAGCGAAACCGUGAGGUCAAGCAAAUCCCAUAAAGUUGUUCUCAGUUCGGAUUGUAGUCUGCAACUCGACUUCAUGAAGCUGGAAUCGCUAGUAAUCGUAGAUCAGCAUGCUACGGUGAAUACGUUCCCGGGUCU
rnacentral:rRNA from 1 species